rnacentral:rRNA from 1 species
UGAUCCUGGCUCAGGAUGAACGCUGGCGGUAUGCCUGAGGUAUGCAAGUCGAACGAUUCUUAUGAUUCCUUCGGGAAACAUAAGAAAGUGGCGGACGGCUGAGUAAUACAUAGGAAUCUACCCCUAUCUAGGGAAUAGCUCCGGGAAACUGGAGGUAAUACCCUAUAGUCCCCGCUUUUUGCGGGGUAAAGGUUUCGACCGGGGAGGGAUGAGCCUAUGUCCUACCAGGUAGUUGGUGGGGUAAUGGCUUACCAAGCUGAUGACGGGUUGCUGGCUUUACGAGAGUGGCCAGCCAGAGGGGGACUGAGACACGGCCCCCACUCCUACGGGAGGCAGCAACCAGGAAUAGUCGGCAAUGGGCGAAAGCCUGACCGCGCAAUACCGCGUGUAGGAUGAAGCUGGAAACAGUGUAAACUACUGUGGCAAGAGAAGAAGUUCCGCAUUUUGCGGAAUUGACGGUAUCUUGCUAGAAAGGGGCCGCUAACUUCGUGCCAGAAGCGUCGGUAAUACGAGGGCCUCAAGCGUUAUCCGGUGUUACUGGGCGUAAAGGGUCGUGUAGGCGGUUUUGUAAGUUACCUUUUAAAGACCACGGCUCAACCGGGGGAAUGGAGGUAAUACUGCAGAACUAGAGUUAUCUAUGGGGGUAACCGGAACUAAAGGAGGAGUAGUGAAAUGCGUUGAUACCUUUGGGAACACCAAUGGCGAAGGCAGGUUACUGUAAGAUAACUGACGCUGAGACACGAAAGCUAGGGGAGCGAAGCAGAUUAGAGACCUGCGUAGUCCUAGCUGUAAACGCAUGCUUGCUAGCUGCAUGAGGUUAGCUUUUAGCUUACAAGGUGAAUACUGUGAGUUAAAAGCUAAUCUGGUGUGGCGAAGGUAACCCGUUAAGCAAGCCGCCUGGGGAUUACGGUCGCAAGACUAAAACUCAAAGGAAUUGGGCGGGGAGGCACACAACCAGUGGAACAUGUUGUUUUAUUCGAAACAAACCGAAGAACCUUACCAGGGUUUGACAUGUAGCUGCAAACCGGAUGAAAGUCUGGCUCCUUCGAGGGUGCUACACAGGUGCUGCAUGGCUGUCGUCAGUUCGUUCCGUGAGGAGUGCCCUUAAGUGGGACAACGAACGCAACCCCCAUCCUAUGUUACAAGUGUCAUAGGAAACUGCCCUUGACUUUUCAGGGGAGGAAGGAGGGGCAGACGUCAAGUCCGCAUGGUCCUUAUGCCCUGGGCUACAAACAUGUUACAAUGGGUAGAAACAACGAGCCUUGCGAACUCGUAAGAGUAAGCGAAUCUCUGAAAUCUAUUCUCAGUGGGGAUUGAGGUCUGCAAUUCGACCUCAUGAACGUGGAAUUGGUAGUAAUCGUGGAUCAGCUAUGCCGCGGUGAAUACGUUCUUGCCUCUUGCA